AGAAGAUAAGCAUGUAGAGAAGACAGGAUGAGUGUGAGCUGUUGAAUGGCGAUUUGGUUUUUUUCUGAAGCAGUUACUAUUUGCCUUUUUAAGGGAAAGAGUCCCAGAAGUUUUCAGCCCUCACCUGAGGACACCGGUCCCAGAGCCACAGUCAAAGCGGAACUCCACGUGGCCCCCUGCCAAGUUGAUGGACAGGAAGUCUUUGCUGCCUGUGUCAUAGCUGUACAGGAGGACACCAUCUCCUGAGUCUGGCCGAAAUGUGAUCUCAAAUUCCAUGAAGGAAAGUGUCGACCUUUAAACCCAAGGGGACAGAGGCAAAUGUAGGAGUCGGCUUUGAUUGCUGUGCAGGUGCCACCAUGGAUGCACGAGGCCUCAUCACAGAUUCCACUGCUGCAUUCCCCUAAAUACAGAAUGGGAAUUACAAAGCCAAUCCUCCAUGUGUGCCAGUCCAACACAGUGGCGCUGACCCCACCAGCAGCUCAUGGUUCUGAAUAAAUACAUUUCAGUUCUUA